rnacentral:rRNA from 1 species
AGUGAACGCUGGCGGUAGGCCUAACACAUGCAAGUCGAACGGCAGCACAGUAAGAGCUUGCUCUUACGGGUGGCGAGUGGCGGACGGGUGAGGAAUACAUCGGAAUCUACUUUUUCGUGGGGGAUAACGUAGGGAAACUUACGCUAAUACCGCAUACGACCUACGGGUGAAAGCAGGGGAUCUUCGGACCUUGCGCGAUUGAAUGAGCCGAUGUCGGAUUAGCUAGUUGGCGGGGUAAAGACCCACCAAGGCGACGAUCCGUAGCUGGUCUGAGAGGAUGAUCAGCCACAUUGGAACUGAGACACGGUCCAGACUCCUACGGGAGGCAGCAGUGGGGAAUAUUGGACAAUGGGCGCAAGCCUGAUCCAGCCAUACCGCGUGGGUGAAGAAGGCCUUCGGGUUGUAAAGCCCUUUUGUUGGGAAAGAAAAGCAGCAGGUUAAUACCCCGCUGUUCUGACGGUACCCAAAGAAUAAGCACCGGCUAACUUCGUG